UACGUAGGGGGCAAGCGUUGUCCGGAAUCAUUGGGCGUAAAGAGCGUGUAGGCGGCCCGGUAAGUCCGCUGUCAAAGUCAAAGGCUUAACCUUUGAAUGUCAGUGGAUAUUGCCGGGCUAGAGUCCGGAAGAGGCGAGUGGAACUCCUGGUGUAGCGAUGGAAUGCGCAGAUAUCAGGAAGAACACCAACGGCGAAGGCAACUCGCUAGGACGGUACUGACGCUGAGACGCGAAAGCGUGGGGAGCGAACAGG
rnacentral:rRNA from 1 species